rnacentral:lncRNA from 1 species
UGAGAUGAAGUGAGGUAAAUAAUGCAGGCAUUGUGAUGUAGCAUUAGGCUACUAUUGAUCUUCUGAUCAUAUGUCAGAAGGAGGAUCAUCUGCUGUGGGUGUUCCUGAUCUUUGAGCCAUGAUAAUGUUACUGGUUGGAUGUCAGGAGCAGGCCAUGUGGAUGAUUAAAAGAUGAAUAUCAUAUACAGCAUGGAUAUGUUGGACAAAAAGAUGAUUCACAUCCCAGACAGAAUGGAGCAGCACAUUUAUUAAAAGCCAGAAGCUAGAAGACGAGGAAAGAAGAGGUGGUUAAAGAAAGAUACAGUAACAGCAGUAAUAUCUAACAGGAAGGCUACAGGGGAAAAUACAGAAAUUCCAUAAAGAACAAACACUGUAACUCAAAACCAAAGCUUUGCUAGUCACUAGUGCCCGCUACAUCCUAACAGAUGCAGCUGGAGAGCCUGGGGUGAGAACAUGAGCAGUCUAUAAUCAGAAAAUCCCUUUGGGAUAAAUUGACAAAAAUAUAAACCACUCCACAAAGGAGAAAUUGUAAAUGUUGUUCUUCCAGAUGGCAUGAAUCCAACAGUGAAGAAAUCAGAAUACGUUGCUUUUGUGAGGGGCAGCUGCUGAUUUUCUCUGAGCUCCGUUUCCAGCCUUCACAUGCUCUGCUAUUCAUCACAGGGUAAAUUCUGACUAUAGGAGGUACUGACAGAAGAUUAGGGAAGAACAGAGGGCUAAAUGUUUAUUGACUUCUUGAAAAAUGCUAUGUGUCUUGCCAGACUUAGCUUACAAGUUUGGUUAAAGAGAGACUGACAUGAGCAUAAAGGAAGGGACAUUGAAAGAGGCAGAGAUGAAGGAAGAAAUUGUAACUUACUCCUUUUAUCCCACCCAUCAAAGGAAAGACAAGUUGACAAGUAUUGAUUCUGCAACAAACUGAGAAGAAACCUGGCGAUUCACAACAGAGAGCUGAGAAAUCCUAAGUCUGGAUUCCAGCUAAAUGGGAGCAGACUAAAUAGAGCGGCAGUCGGCGAACUACAUGUAGCCCAUGAACAAAAUCCGGUCCAGCACGUGUGUUUUUUUUUACGGCCCACAAAUGAGUCUGUCUUUACAGAUGAAUGUUAAAACUGGGUUGACAAGAGAGAACACUCACUUUGAACCGCAACUAAACAAAAUAUUAUCACCUUUCCCCUCAAAAAAGGUGUCUGAGGGCAAGGGUUGAAUGAGGAGAAAAAGAAAGAAACAAGAAGAUAAUGAACUUAGCUUUAAAGAUGUUGGACCCUUUGAUUUGGUUACCCUAUUACAGUUGGCUAAGACAGCAAGCAAAGCUUUGGCAUUGUGAAACAGUGACAGAAGUAUUUAACAAGUGGAAACUAACUACGGCAUAGGGAUUCUUCAACUGCCUUGCAAAGUGGUGCACGGGUGGAAUCUUACCAGCAUUCUCAUCUGCCAUAAGAAAUUAAACCUGUCUCUUCCUGCGGUAACUGGAAGAGGAAUGAUCUAAACUUGAACACCUAAUUGCAUCUCUCCCA